rnacentral:rRNA from 1 species
AGAGUUUGAUGGUGGCUCAGGAUGAACGCCAGCUACAGGCUUAACACAUGCAAGUCGAGGGGAAACGGCAUUGAGUGCUUGCACUCUUUGGACGUCGACCGGCGCACGGGUGAGUAACGCGUAUCCAACCUUCCCAUUACUGUGGGAUAACCUGCCGAAAGGCAGACUAAUACCGCAUAGUCUUCGAUGACGGCAUCAGAUUUGAAGUAAAGAUUUAUCGGUAAUGGAUGGGGAUGCGUCUGAUUAGCUUGUUGGCGGGGUAACGGCCCACCAAGGCAACGAUCAGUAGGGGUUCUGAGAGGAAGGUCCCCCACAUUGGAACUGAGACACGGUCCAAACUCCUACGGGAGGCAGCAGUGAGGAAUAUUGGUCAAUGGACGGAAGUCUGAACCAGCCAAGUAGCGUGCAGGAUGACGGCCCUAUGGGUUGUAAACUGCUUUUGUAUGGGGAUAAAGUUAGGGACGUGUCCCUAUUUGCAGGUACCAUACGAAUAAGGACCGGCUAAUUCCGUGCCAGCAGCCGCGGUAAUACGGAAGGUCCAGGCGUUAUCCGGAUUUAUUGGGUUUAAAGGGAGCGUAGGCUGGAGAUUAAGUGUGUUGUGAAAUGUAGACGCUCAACGUCUGAAUUGCAGCGCAUACUGGUUUCCUUGAGUACGCACAACGUUGGCGGAAUUCGUCGUGUAGCGGUGAAAUGCUUAGAUAUGACGAAGAACUCCGAUUGCGAAGGCAGCUGACGGGAGCGCAACUGACGCUUAAGCUCGAAGGUGCGGGUAUCAAACAGGAUUAGAUACCCUGGUAGUCCGCACAGUAAACGAUGGAUGCCCGCUGUUGGUACCUGGUAUCAGCGGCUAAGUGAAAGCAUAAGCAUCC